rnacentral:rRNA from 1 species
AGCUUCGGCUCUGUAGCAAUCGGAAGUGGUUCCAAGAAAAGCCUCUAAGCUUCAGUCAUACGAGACCGUACCGCAAACCGACACAGGUGGGCGAGAUGAGUAUUCUAAGGCGCUUGAGAGAACUCGGGAGAAGGAACUCGGCAAAUUGGUACCGUAACUUCGGGAAAAGGUACGCCCCGGUAGCUUGGUCACUUUACUGUGAUAGGGCGAAAGGGUUGCAAUAAACUGGUGGCUGCGACUGUUUAAUAAAAACACAGCACUCUGCAAACACGAAAGUGGACGUAUAGGGUGUGACGCCUGCCCGGUGCUGGAAGAUUAAAUGAUGGGGUGCAAGCUCUUGAUUGAAGUCCCAGUAAACGGCGGCCGUAACUAUAACGGUCCUAAGGUAGCGAAAUUCCUUGUCGGGUAAGUUCCGACCUGCACGAAUGGCGUAACGAUGGCCACACUGUCUCCUCCCGAGACUCAGCGAAGUUGAAGUGUUUGUGAUGAUGCAAUCUACCCGCGGCUAGACGGAAAGACCCCAUGAACCUUUACUGUAGCUUUGCAUUGGACUUUGAAUCAAUCUGUGUAGGAUAGGUGGGAGGCUUUGAAGCGGGAACGCCAGUUUUCGUGGAGCCAACCUUGAAAUACCACCCUGGUUCAUUUGAGGUUCUAACCUUGGCCCGUUAUCCGGGUCGGGGACAGUGCAUGGUAGGCAGUUUGACUGGGGCGGUCUCCUCCUAAAGUGUAACGGAGGAGUUCGAAGGUACGCUAGUUACGGUCGGACAUCGUGACGAUAGUGCAAUGGCAUAAGCGUGCUUAACUGCGAGACUGACAAGUCGAGCAGGUACGAAAGUAGGACAUAGUGAUCCGGUGGUUCUGUAUGGAAGGGCCAUCGCUCAACGGAUAAAAGGUACUCUGGGGAUAACAGGCUGAUUCCUCCCAAGAGUUCAUAUCGACGGGGGAGUUUGGCACCUCGAUGUCGGCUCAUCACAUCCUGGGGCUGUAGCCGGUCCCAAGGGUAUGGCUGUUCGCCAUUUAAAGUGGUACGUGAGCUGGGUUUAAAACGUCGUGAGACAGUUUGGUCCCUAUCUGCCGUGGGCGUUGGAAAUUUGAAGGGGGCUGCUCCUAGUACGAGAGGACCGGAGUGGACGAACCUCUGGUGUACCGGUUGUCACGCCAGUGGCAUUGCCGGGUAGCUAAGUUCGGAAGAGAUAACCGCUGAAAGCAUCUAAGCGGGAAACUUGCCUUGAGAUGAGAUUUCCCAGAGCCUUGAGCUCUUUGAAGGGUCGUUCGAGACCAGGACGUUGAUAGGCUGGGUGUGGAAGUGCAGUAAUGCAUUAAGCUAACCAGUACUAAUUGCCCGUACGGCUUGUCCC